CCUACGGGAGGCAGCAGUGGGGAAUCUUGCGCAAUGGGCGAAAGCCUGACGCAGCCAUGCCGCGUGAAUGAUGAAGGUCUUAGGAUUGUAAAAAUUCUUUCACCGGGGACGAUAAUGACGGUACCCGGAGAAGAAGCCCCGGCUAACUUCGUGCCAGCAGCCGCGGUAAUACGAAGGGGGCUAGCGUUGCUCGGAAUUACUGGGCGUAAAGGGAGCGUAGGCGGAUAGUUUAGUCAGAGGUGAAAGCCCAGGGCUCAACCUUGGAAUUGCCUUUGAUACUGGCUAUCUUGAGUAUGGGAGAGGUUAGCGGAACUCCGAGUGUAGAGGUGAAAUUCGUAGAUAUUCGGAAGAACACCAGUGGCGAAGGCGGCUAACUGGCCCAUUACUGACGCUGAGGCUCGAAAGCGUGGGGAGCAAACAGGAUUAGAUACCCUGGUAGUCCACGCCGUAAACGAUGAGUGCUAGUUGUCGGCAUGCAUGCAUGUCGGUGGACGCAGCUAACGACAUUAAGACACUCCGCCGUCGGGGAGGUACGGUCGGCGAAGAAGUUAAACUAACUAAAUAGUUAAGUUAGUACGGCGUUGUAGACGUUGCCGACGGACGACCGACCGAGGGGAGGUUAGG
rnacentral:rRNA from 1 species